AUGGACAAGUAUGAAUGAUGGUUCUCAGGCUGCAAGUGGUCUGUAAACAUGAUAUGGAAAAGUUCAGAUCUACUGUUAGCCCAAGAAAUGCAUUUUUACUGAUAAUGAAAUGCAUUACCAUUUUCUCACCUAUUAAAUUUGCAAAUAUUAAAAAUAUUCCUUAGUUGUAUGGGAAUGGGAUUUGUUGUGGUCUUUAUGCAAAGUAGAUUUUAUGUUACCAGGAACUUUAGCAACUUUAUACUCUUUGACCCAGAAAUAAUUUAGAAAGUUAUCUUUUGGUGUUCUGUAGACCCUGAUUUGAUUAAGAAUUUCAUCCCAGAAUUAAUUUAUGAUGGUUAAAACAAAUUGGCUGCCUAAAUGCCCACUGGUAGAAAAAUUGUGAGUUGUGCUGUAGACAUACAAAGUAAUUGUCCUAGCUUUAAAUCCUGUUAUCAGGGAAUAUUUAGCGACCUGAAAAAAUUUGGCAAUGACUUUUAAAUGAGGAAACAUAACAUGAAGUUAUUGCUAGCUGCUGUUGUUGGAAUGUACCAUUUACAAAAAUUGAGAGGAAGACUUAAUAAAUUUAAAGGAGAAAAAUAGAGAUGGAAUGCAACCGGAUCUGACAGAGUUUUUUGUUUUUUUAACGGAUAGUUCUACAUCAUCACCCUGUGCCAAAAAUGUGGAAUUCCCAGUCACUAAGUUUGUGGUUUCUUCUCAUGAGAAUUUGGUUUCCUAAUUUAUAAAGUUGACAUUCCAAUUUUGUAUGUCUGGUUUUAUUUGUAACUCAUUUUUAUUAUCUCAUAAAAAUCUCAUUUGUACUGUGAAAAUGGAGCCUGUUGACUCUGGCACAUCUCUGUAGGGGUGAUGGUGAAUUUAUUCGUCUUGGGGUCCAGAAGUGCUAGAGGGUCAGUGUAUACACCAGAACUAGCAUCUAACUUGCUUUACGUCUGUUUAUUACUCAAGAACCCUGAUAUGAGUUGAAUAGAAUUGAUGACUAGCAGAGAGAAAAAGAAUGGAGUCCUUCUCUGCCCUGCCUAAAAAACUUGAGGCAGAUAACGGGAAUUAAGGGAAAUGUGGUUAAGAAACAAAAGACUGAAGACCAGCACGUGGUUUACUUUAGAACAUUUAUUUAAUCUUUCUUGUGUCCAAAUACUGGUAUUACCUAGUGUUAAAGACUGAUCCCUGGUUAGAUUUACUCAAAAAGUAUACCGUAUUCCUCUUGUAUGCAAAAGAUAACCUAUUAAAAGACCAUGGUAACUGCUGUAAGAGGGAAGGCCUUGAGAAGGAACAGAUUCACAGUCAGAGGGAAUGUAAUAAGUUAGAAUGGUGUUAUCCACUCACUAGAUGUGUGAUCUACUUCCGAUAAAUACAUCAAAGUACAGCUAAUAAAAUAGAAAAAUGGACAAGUACAAAUGAUGGUUCUCAGGCUGCAAGUGGUCUAUAAACAAGAGGUGGAAAAGUUCAAGUCUGCUGUUCGCCCAAGAAAUGCAUUAUUAGUGAGAGGCACCAUGAGCUCUUACUGCCAGAGUGAUGGUUAGUCAUUGGUGGUUUUUAGGGGUUUGCAGUGUGAUGACUUGGUAGAACUGUCCCCAUUAGUGAAAGGUGAGAAUUUAGCCUUUAAUCACUGAUUGCUACCUUUUUCAAAUAAGGGGAGCUCUUUCCAAAAAAAAAAAAAAAUAUGGAGGUGGGGGGCAAAAAAACCGGCCACAUCCCCACACGUUAUUUUGAUAUCUUAUAUCCAUAUAUAUGCGUAUGAAAAUAUUUGAAAUACUUUUACUAGUGCUUUUUAAAUAGUUGUAUGUUAUUAAUUGAAACAGUAAGUAUAUCUGAAAACAUGUUUCAGAUACUCGUCAAGAUGCUUUACAUUAGAGACAAUAGUUACUUACAUAGUGAAGCUAAAAUGUCUUAUACUAUUUAUGUAAAUAACCCUUUGAAAUCCAAAACUAGAUUUAAGUUAUUUUAUAAUACUUUAAUCUGUCUAGGGAGGGGAGAUUUCUCUAAAAAUUAGACAAAUGGUUUGGCUUUAGAUCUUAAGGGUGGUUUACUGUAUUGGUGAGAGAUAAACAGCUAGAAUUACAUUAACAAAAUGUUCUCAGUUUUAGAUUUACCUUUCUCAUUAUCAAAUCAUUUCCCACACGUUUAGAAGUACAGUAGAACCAUCAGAUGUUAGUUAUUACUCAUUUGUUCUUAUAACUUAGAAUUGCCGUUUUUUCAUCUGUAGUACAUGAAUUCUAAACAUUGAGAACGACACAAAAAAGCUGCAUUUCAAACCAUAGUCUGCAAAUCAACAGCCCUUUCAAAAAUUUGCCUUUUUAUUGUCCAGCUUGGGAAUUUUCCUGUCUUUUAGCUUGUUACAGAGCAUCAGCAUAAGCAAAAUUAUGUCUAAAGUGUGCUGUUUUAUCUCCCAAAGAUACUCAGUGCUUUGCUUUAAAUGUCAGUAGCUUCAGAGGGGCACCUUUUAUUUCUUAUUCCAGAUGGGUUAAUUAAUGGGUGUUCUAAUAUGUUAUUGUAUUCUUAAAGUCAAAGAUCUAUUUCCUACCCCACCCUACCCACUCUUAUUUCUGAAAUGGGGAUGCAUUUUGUAAUGGAAAACAUUUACUUAUGUAUUUGUUAUGUGUCUAAAAAACAUUAAGGCAAAGUUAUGCACUAUAACUGGUAGACUCCUAGAACCAAAGAGAAAAGAAUAUGCGGAAGAUAAGCAUACAUCACAGUAGCAAAAGAAGGAUCAACAGUUUAAAUUUCUGUUUUCUCUCUCCCAUUUCGCAAUAACCAUCUUAGUUUUAUUUAUCAAAGGUCCUCUGAAACAAAUAAUGCAGUUGUUUGCCGUGACUUUCUUUGGUACAUAAAAGAUGUCACUGUAAAAUUUUUUUUUCAUGAUACUAUAGGUUAAGUUCUUUUAAGUGAGCAACACUAUCCUAGUUGGAAGCUUAUCAGGGAUUCAUCAGUG